ensembl:lncRNA
AAAAUCGCCACUGGACAAUUUACAUUGAACCCCUCCCCCUCCCUUUUGUACACUGCUGCUACUCGCUGUUUGUUUGUUAUCGAUGCAUAGUCACUUCACCCCAACUACAUGUACAGAUUACCUCAACUAGCCUGUACCCCUGCACACUGACUCGGUACAGGUGCCCCCUGUAUAUACCCCCGCACACUGACUCGGUACAGGUGCCCCCUGUAUAUACCACCCACACUGACUCGGUACAGGUGCCCCCUGUAUAUACCCCCCACACUGACUCGGUACAGGUGCCCCCUGUAUAUACCACCCACACUGACUCGGUACAGGUGCCCCCUGUAUAUACCACCCAC